AAGACUAUACUUUCAGGGAUCAUUUCUAUAGUUAUUAACUAGGAAAUGUGUUUUUAAAAGAGAUUAGUCUCCCUAACUACGAUGAAGAGUUUUGAAAUCCUUUUCUGAGCGUUAAUCGGGCACUGAGAAGUGAAUUAAUUCACACGCUCGGUGUUAUUGAUGAUCGUCCCGUAUCACUUUAAGGUGAUAUGGGAGAAAAGGGUUUUAGCGGAGUAGU